rnacentral:lncRNA from 1 species
AUGCCUUCAUCACGUUUUCAGAAGCUUCACCCAUAAAGCUAUUUACAAAAGGAAUAUUCUCACAACACAACUUAUGAAGUUGUUGGUAAGCUAUGUCAAAUAAGGCCUUCCAAGUCAUGGUUACAUAGUGCUCCAAAUUAUCCAACCCUGUGUUAAAAGGAUGUGUUCUAUAAAAUUUAUAAGUCCAAGGCAUGACACCGCUUAAGUUGACCAAAGUAUAUACAUCUGGCGGAUGAGAUGGCUUGGCAUCACAUCACAUGCGUGCACCAUCGUUCAUGCCAGCUCAUGUGCAUGCUUGCUGCAAGGCCAAGGCGGG